AUGCAGCUUGCUCAAAGGAAAUCAUCUUCAUCCAACUCUGUGUCUGAGUAUAUUCAGCGGGAAUCAGACAGCGAUUAUGACACUGCUGCUCCUGAUAGUAUUUAUGUCCCACUCAGCAAGUUUUAUUUUAUAUCUGAGUACAGAACAAGGCAAAAACACCCUCCUAACAUGACCCUGUUGCAGUCACUGACAUGCUGCAUAUUACUUUAUAUUUCAUGUGCUCAAUCACAAACACCAGCGCUGAGUCCUCAAGUUGGAUCUGUUACUCAAGGGCAAAGUUUUACAUUUAACUGCAUUGUAGGUGUUAAGGAUUCAAGUGUUAUGGCAUUCUUAAUACAAUCACCCGGGGAGUCUCCUAAACUUAUAUUUGGCAACCAUCACUCAUACUCAUCACCCAGCUAUGGACCUGGGAUGUCAUCAGCUCAUUUCACUGGCACAAUAAACAGCGCUGGAACUGAAUAUCAGCUGAUUAUUAAAGAUACACAGAUUGCAGACACAUCUAUAUAUUACUGUGUAAAAUGGUACAGCAGUCUUAGUGCAUAA